UUUUGCUAUAUUUUUAGCUCCUGAAAUGGAUUUGAGAAUGCCAACUGUAAUUCUUUUCAUUAUGAUUUGUUUGUUUCUACAAUGGGAUAGACUUUAAUGAUACAUAUUCUAGGAAAUUAUUUUUCUUGUCACCUAUGGACAAAAGAAAAAGCCAAUUAAACAGUCAAUUCCUUAUUGCCCUUUCUAAAAGGCAGUCCUUCUUCAAUUUAUCUGAAGCUUGUUUUUGUUUUCCAUUUUCACAUACUUCUAGUUGAGGGAUUCUUAAUCUGGGAUCUGGAGAUCCUUAAAAUAUCCAUGGAGAGAUUUCAAGAUGUCAGUAAGCUUGUAUGGAAAAAAAUUAUAACUUUAAUUCACUAUAAUUGAUUUUCUUUGUGAUUCUAUUUAUUUUGUUUCAUGUAUUUAGAAACGGAGGUGGAGUUAAAAUGGUGGCUUAAAGACAGCAACAGUUCAGACCUCUGCAAACCCUUCCUCACCAAUCAAAAACAAUGCUUCAAGGUGCCUGAAAACCAAAUGUAACAACAGGACAGAGCUAGGGAACUCUCCUCCUGGACCAAACUUAAAAGGAUCUUGGCCUGGGACUGCUGCUGGAGCUACAACUUGGACCUGGGACUCUGGAUCUUGGACUGCUGCUAGUAAGACUGCUCCUGGAUCUUCUCCCUUUGGAGCUACUGCUUGGAGUCAUUGAAGUCCAAUAGCUAGACUAAAGUCAACAACUGGUGAUGUCUCAGGGGUGCAGUGGAUGACCUCCAGUUCUUUGAGUGCUUCAGCCACCUUCAGAGACACUAGAACAAAUUGUUCUCAUGCAUUGCUUCACAUGUCUAGGGAAGACAUCCCCUUAAUUCCCUGACAGAUUUGAAGCUUGUCACUUGCUCUAAACUUGAUUUAGCUUGUCUGCCAAGAUAAUUUAUCAGGCUGUGACCACUGGGCAUGCUGCAACUUCUUGAAGUCAAAGAUGAAAACUGGGACUACUAGUCUUCCCUGAACACCCUGUAUACUCAUAGAGGUAGGUGGCACAGGUAAAGAACCAAGCCUAGAGUCAGGAGGAUCUGAGUUCAAGUCUUGCCUCAUACACUUACUAGAUGUAUGACCCUUUGGGCAAGUCACUUAACCCUGUUUACCUCAGUUUCUUUAUCUGUGAAAUUGAUUGGAGAAGGAAAUGACAAACCACUCUAAUAUGUUUGCCAAGAAAAUCCCAAAUGGGGUUAUAGUUGAACCUGAUGAAAAAACAAGAACCGUCUAUACUGAUAUGUGAAAUACUAAAGACUAAGAAGAAUAACUGAAUGAAGUUCUUCAUCAUUAUC
rnacentral:lncRNA from 1 species